GACGAACGCUGGCGGCGUGCCUAAUACAUGCAAGUAGAACGCUGAAGAGAGGAGCUUGCUCUUCUUGGAUGAGUUGCGAACGGGUGAGUAACGCGUAGGUAACCUGCCUUGUAGCGGGGGAUAACUAUUGGAAACGAUAGCUAAUACCGCAUAACAAUGGGUGACACAUGUCAUUUAUUUGAAAGGGGCAAUUGCUCCACUACAAGAUGGACCUGCGUUGUAUUAGCUAGUAGGUGAGGUAAUGGCUCACCUAGGCGACGAUACAUAGCCGACCUGAGAGGGUGAUCGGCCACACUGGGACUGAGACACGGCCCAGACUCCUACGGGAGGCAGCAGUAGGGAAUCUUCGGCAAUGGGGGCAACCCUGACCGAGCAACGCCGCGUGAGUGAAGAAGGUUUUCGGAUCGUAAAGCUCUGUUGUAAGUCAAGAACGGGUGUGAGAGUGGAAAGUUCACACUGUGACGGUAGCUUACCAGAAAGGGACGGCUAACUACGU
rnacentral:rRNA from 1 species